rnacentral:rRNA from 1 species
CUACGGGUCGCUGCAGUGAGGAAUAUUGCACAAUGGGGGGAACCCUGAUGAAGCAACGCCGCGUGGAGGAUGACGCAUUUUGGUGUGUAAACUCCUUUUAUAUGUCAAGAAAAUGACGGUAGCAUAUGAAUAAGCACCGGCUAACUCCGUGCCAGCAGCCGCGGUAAUACGGAGGGUGCAAGCGUUACUCGGAAUCACUGGGCGUAAAGGACGCGUAGGCGGGUUGGAAAGUCAGGUGUGAAAUCCUACAGCUUAACUGUAGAACUGCACUUGAAACUUCUAAUCUAGAGUAUGGGAGGGGGAGAUGGAAUUAGUGGUGUAGGGGUAAAAUCCGUAGAUAUCACUAGGAAUACCUAAAGCGAAGGCGAUCUCCUGGAACAUUACUGACGCUAAGGCGUGAAAGCGUGGGGAGCAAACAGGAUUAGAUACCCCCGUAGUC